rnacentral:misc_RNA from 1 species
GAGAAAACUUUGCUGCUGAAAUCGCUGGAGGCAACUGUGUGAUUUCUCUCACAACUUCACCAAUCUUCUUCCAGCAGCCAUGAUUAUCUCAGAGAAGAACCGUAGAGAGAUCUCCAAAUACCUCUUCCAAGAGGGAGUAUGCUUUGCUAAGAAGGACUACAACUUGGCGAAACAUCCUAACAUUGAUGUGCCGAACCUACAAGUGAUUAAGCUGAUGCAGAGCUUUAAGUCAAAGGAGUAUGUGCGCGAGACCUUUGCUUGGAUGCACUACUACUGGUAUCUUACCAAUGAUGGCAUUGAGUUCCUCAGGACUUACCUCAAUCUUCCUUCUGAAAUUGUCCCUGCCACAUUGAAGAAGUCUGCUAAGCCCCUUGGUCGUCCCAUGGGUGGACCUCCAGGCGAUAGGCCCCGUGGACCACCAAGGUUUGAGGGUGAUAGGCCAAGGUUUGGUGAUAGGGAUGGUUAUCGUGCUGGUCCAAGAGGUCCACCUGGUGAAUUUGGAGGCGAGAAGGGUGGAGCUCCAGCUGACUACCAGCCCGCAUUCAGGGGUGGUGGUGGAAGACCUGGAUUUGGUCGUGGAGCCGGAGGUUUUGGUGGUGCACCCCCUAGUUCAAGCUCCUAGGUUUCUAUUGUUUUAUCCAAAUUUUGAUCAUUAAAUGUUGGACUCAACUUGACUAUUAUUCUCUCCUUUAAAACACUCUGCUAUGCAGGCAAUUUCAAUCUAUCUUUUUAUCUUUAAUGAACUACUAUAAG